CUUUUGCUUCUCAAACUAUGAGGGGCUGAUAUCUUAGAUGCCAACUUUAAUUUCACUACAACAAAAACGGUCUAUAGCGAUAUUUUUAAAUGUAGGUACAUGUCAAAAAAGUGCUGCUAGCUAAAAUUACCGACACUUUUAAAAAGUGUUGCUAUAUGUGGGGUCGCUAGGUAUAUAGUGACAGUUAAAGAGUGUCGCUAUAACCUAAAAGAGUGCUACUAAUUUACCAACACUUAUUUAAGUAUUUAGCAACCGCCGAAACUCUAUCUCGUUGGCUGCGGUGGCGGAGGAGGACGACAGGAAAGGCUCUUCGUCUAGAAUUUCAGUGGAUUGAGUGAAGAGAAAAGAAAAGAUGGUAAUUGAUUUUUCUUUUUUUUUUUCUUUUCUGUUUGUAAUCGUGCCAAAUGCACGGGGUGUGAUGGGUUGAGUAGAGUAAUCUUUUAUUUUUGGUUGGAUUGGGCUUUAUAUUUAGCCAUUAGUAGAUAUUUUUUUAAGUUUUAGGAUAAAUGGGCACUUACUCAAAAGUGUCCCAAACAUGUGUCCCUAUAACCUAAUUCUGUUGUAGUGUUUAUUGUAAUUUUAGUUUGAAUUUUAUAAAUUAUUGUAAUAAUUUUUCAUAGCUUUGAUUAAAUAUUGAUAUAUUGGUCAUUGCCUCGUCAUUAACCAUAGUACGAGACAUUACUAUCGGUGACAUAUCAUCGUUUGGUCAAACUUAUUAGACUAUGGGGCUUGAUUACAAUAAUUUAAAAAGUUUGAACAAAAAUUACAACAGAUUAAAGCUAUAGAACAUCUCAAAUAAUCCAAAAUAGGUGUAAAUCUUACACCUUUCAAAUCUAAGUGUCCAAAAUUUU
rnacentral:lncRNA from 1 species